GCUUGCAGAAUUAUUCAGUUGAGAACCGUCAUUCAUUCGAUUACAAUCUGUAACUAUGAAGUGUUGGAUAACCUUGUUUGUAGCAAUUGUUACUGUACAGUGCAUCAGUGUACGAGCGGCAUCAUCAAAACUCGCUGUGAGUGGUUUGGCAUCGACGACUACUGACCGCUCGCUCACAGACCUUUUCGCAACCUUUGGUAACGUACAGGACGUUAUUAUUAAUCGUGGCUCAGGCUCUGCUUUUGUUAUCAUGUCUACAAAAAAAGAAGCGGACGCUGCACUUAAAGCACUAAACGGAUCUGUAUUUGAAGGAAAACGCAUUAGUGUUAAACAUGCGUGAUAGUAUACACGUACCAGUUGCCAUUUUAUAUCAUUUACAAUAUCUACAAUAUUCAGGCAAAACAAAAGGUUCUCUGAUUUUUUGAAUGGAUAAUAAAGUUUCAGAUAUAAUUUA